CCCUUAGAUGUUCUGGGCUGCACGCGCGCUACACUGAUGCAUCCAACAAGUUUUUUCCUUGUUCGAGAGGACUAGGUAAUCUUAUGAGAAUGCAUCGUGAUGGGGAUAGAUUAUUGCAAUUAUUAAUCUUCAAUGAGGAAUUCCUAGUAAGCGCGAGUCAUCAGCUCGUGCUGAUUACGUCCCUGCCCUUUGUACACACCGCCCGUCGCUGCAACUGAUUGGGUGACCUGGUGAACAUCUUGGACCGGCCCACUCAAUUUCGAGAGGACUGGAAAAGGCCGUAAAUCAGGUACAUCUAGAAAUUGCAAAAGUCGUAACA
rnacentral:rRNA from 1 species